GUGGGGAAUAUUGGACAAUGGGCGCAAGCCUGAUCCAGCCAUGCCGCGUGAGUGAUGAAGGCCUUAGGGUUGUAAAGCUCUUUCAGUGGGGACGAUAAUGACGGUACCCACAGAAGAAGCCCCGGCUAACUUCGUGCCAGCAGCCGCUGUAAUACGAAGGGGGCUAGCGUUGUUCGGAUUUACUGGGCGUAAAGCGCACGUAGGCGGAUCGUUAAGUCGGGGGUGAAAUCCUGGAGCUCAACUCCAGAACUGCCUUCGAUACUGGCGAUCUUGAGUCCGGAAGAGGUGGGUGGAACUCCUAGUGUAGAGGUGGAAUUCGUAGAUAUUAGGAAGAACACCAGUGGCGAAGGCGGCUCACUGGUCCGGUACUGACGCUGAGGUGCGAAAGCGUGGGGAGCAAACAGGAUUAGAUACCCUUGUAGUCC
rnacentral:rRNA from 1 species